CGCUUUCUCCAUUCGGAGCCU
rnacentral:siRNA from 1 species